GACAGCUGUGCUCUUUGGCCUCCCCCUUGGCUUUCUCUCUCUGAUUUGCUACUCCAUCUGGUGCUCUGAUAUUAUGGAUGCAGACGAGGAGGAAGAAGAGCCUCAGCAUGAAAAGAAGGACUGAUCGAGGUUACAUUAUGGAACAAACAUCAAUGUGUGUUUCUGGGAAUAUCUCCAGAUUGCAGCCUGUCUUAGUCCAAACAUAUUUAAUGACCUGAACAAAUAUUAUUAAGAAGAAAGUACAGAAAGAGUUGUAUUUUACUUAGUGUUAUGGAAAUUUUGAAAAAUUUUGAAGUCACCCAGUUAGUGAUACUGAUUAUUAUUCUCAAACAACAAAUGAUUGUUGUUGCUUGUGCCAUAUUGCAUUUGUUGAUAGAAAUUUUUCAGCAUAGGGCAAUUAAAUGUGCAUUUUUUCCCAUAAACUUGAUGAUCGUAAUGAAAGUAGUUUAAGGCCUAUAAGUUAUAUAUGUUUGUGCAUGCAUAUUUGGACCUUGGCUUUUGUAAAAGAAAAAUCAUGUCUCAGACUCUUACUUUUUUAGAGUUUGAUUUGUACAGUAUUGAUAUGUGCAUUUUUUUGUUGGAAAUGUUGCAUUCCCUUUUUAAUACAUGUUUUGUGAUACUUAUUUAUUUUAAAGACUGAUACUUUGUUAUAUGAACUUGUGUAGGGUAAUUUCCACCAGUUUAUAAUCUACUGGUUUGUUAAUUUUUUAAGACUUAAGAUUUUAUUUUCUAGCUGUAAGAAUAUGUUUCCUAUUAAAAGAAAUCAGACAUGUUUUCAACGUGAAUUAUAAUUCAUGUAAUGUCAUUUUAUAAUGGUGCCUCUGGCGUGAGGAAAUGAUACAAAACUUUGAUCUCAUUUCUGGUUCUCAUUUUUAGAUAGAAUGUAUUGAAAUCUUAAUUACAUCAUAAUAAAGGGAUAUGUGAGAUGAGGACGAUAUGAGACAGAUUGAGAGUAGUUUUUAAAAAUCUGCAUUAAAAGUCACUAAUUGCAUGUUCAUUUAUAUUGUAAACCCUGAGAUUCUAUUUGUUAUAGUGUAUUAUCUUAUGAUACAUAUGCUUUGUAAUCUAA